rnacentral:rRNA from 1 species
CCUAUAUACCGCCGUCGUCAGCUUACCCUGUGAAGGAAAUAUAAGUAAGCAAAAUGAGUAUAACCCAGAACGUCAGGUCGAGGUGUAGCGCAUGAAGUGGGAAGAAAUGGGCUACAUUUUCUAUCACAGAAUAUUACGAAUAUGCACCAUGAAAUAGUGCUUAAAGGAGGAUUUAGUAGUAAAAGGGAAAUAGAGUGUCCCUUUGAACCCGGCUCUGAGACGCGUACACACCGCCCGUCACUCUCCCCAUCAAAUACAUCAAAAAUACCUAAUAAAAUAACAUUAAUAUAGGGGAGGCAAGUCGUAACACGGUAAGUGUACCGGAAGGUGCACUUGGACCAAACC